AGAGUUUGAUCCUGGCUCAGAACGAACGCUGGCGGCAGGCUUAACACAUGCAAGUCGAGCGCACCAUUUAUGGUGAGCGGCAGACGGGUGAGUAAUGUAUGGGGAUCUACCUAUUACUACGGAAUAACACAGAGAAAUUUGUGCUAAUACCGUAUAGUUCCGAGAGGAUAAAGAUUUAUCGGUAAUAGAUGAGCCCAUAUUAGAUUAGCUAGUUGGUAAGGUAAAGGGCUUACCAAGGCGACGAUCUAUAGCUGGUCUGAGAGGAUGAUCAGCCACACUGGGACUGAGACACGGCCCAGACUCCUACGGGAGGCAACAGUGGGGAAUAUUGGACAAUGGGCGCAAGCCUGAUCCAGCCAUGCCGCGUGAGUGAUGAAGGCCUUAGGGUUGUAAAGCUCUUUCGCCGGUGAAGAUAAUGACGGUAACCGGAAAAGAAGCCCCGGCUAACUUCGUG
rnacentral:rRNA from 1 species